rnacentral:lncRNA from 1 species
AUUCCCACCUCAUACAAAGACUACAAGAGGAGAGGGGUAUAUGUAUAUAGCCCUCAUCAUCACCCUCAUUUUUAUUCUCAUUAGUUAAUAAUUAAUAUAAGCUGCUUUCACAUAACUACUUGUGUCCAGUGCUGGCUAGAGCCACCUUCUUCGUCUUCCUCUCCUCAGAACUUAAUGCUGUAACAUCGCAACAUCAAAAAAAUGAAUUAAGAUAUUUAAUUUUACAUGUCCAAAAUAAUAGUUGAUUUAUUUUUUCUUAAAUAUAUGUGUUUAUUAACAUCUUCAAAUUAGUUUUCAUAGUGAGAAAAUCCUAAAAUAAACA